rnacentral:rRNA from 1 species
AGUGAACGCUGGCGGUAGGCCUAACACAUGCAAGUCGAACGGCAGCACAGUAAGAGCUUGCUCUUACGGGUGGCGAGUGGCGGACGGGUGAGGAAUACAUCGGAAUCUACUUUUUCUUGGGGGAUAACGUAGGGAAACUUACGCUAAUACCUCAUACGACCUACGGGUGAAAUCAGGGGAUCUUCGGACCUUGCGCGAUUGAAUGAGCCGAUGUCGGAUUAGCUAGUUGGCGGGGUAAAGGCACACCAAGGCGACGAUCCGUAGCUGGUCUGAGAGGAUGAUCAGCCACACUGGAACUGAGACACGGUCCAGACUCCUACGGGAGGCAGCAGUGGGGAAUAUUGGACAAUGGGCGCAAGCCUGAUCCAGCCAUACCGCGUGGGUGAAGAAGGCCUUCGGGUUGUAAAGCCCUUUUGUUGGGAAAGAAAAGCAGCAGGUUAAUCCCCCGCUGUUCUGACGGUACCCAAAGAAUAAGCACCGGCUAACUUCGUG